GAAGAAUGAGUCCCUCUUACAUCACAGGGAAUUCCAAUCACUGAGGCCACAUGAGUGGUUAAAUGGAGAGAUUAUUGCCUGGUAUUUCAGAGCUCUGCUUCAAAUGAAGGGUGCAAAUCUGUACCUGCUAGACUAUUACACCACAGGUGUCAUUUUAAAUGAAACAAGGGAGUGGAUCUUAAAGACGAAAUUGAAAAAAGUCAUCUUUGAGGAAUAUGAUGGGCUCAUCACUUUCGUAAAUAUCAACAACAACCACUGGAGGUUUGUGUAUCUUCAUGCUAAAUGUGACACCAUUUUCAUACUUGACUCUCAAAUGGGUACAAAUGAAAAGGAAAAAGCCGAAGAGAUAUGCAACAAGUUUCGACAUUUUUUCACAAUGAGACCUCAUACAAAUAAAAGGACAGACUGGGCAAUAAGAACUGGACACAUGGCACAAUCACACAUCCAUUUCAGGAGGAUAGUUCCAGCUGUGGUGUCUUUGUGAUGCUGGUAAAUGGAGGGGGAAAGUGGUUGACAUAAGCACUGUCCUGACGUUUUGCCAUACAACACUGUGUCUGUUACUUCUCACUACUAUCCUUCUAGAUGG